CGUGCCCUGACUGGGAAUCAAACCAGCAAUCUUUUGGUUUGCAGGCUUGCUCUCAUUCCACUGAGCUACAAUGGCCAGGGCUGAAUUUUUUUAUUAAUUCCAUGAUUGAUGGACUUUUGGAUUGUGCCCACUUUGGGGAUAUGGUAAAUAAAGUUGCUAUGAACAUUUGCACCUGUCUUUGGUGGACAUAUUUCUGUUGGGUCUUUCUUACUUCUCUUGGGUAUACGAGGUCUGUCCAGGACGUAUUCAGCCACGUAAUAUGAAAAAUAGAGACACUGAAGAAGAUACAUAGAACAAUGACGCCUCAGUCUCCUUCAAAGUCAGCACCUUGGGACCUCACACAGUUCUCCCAACUGCAGCACGAUGUUCCUUCUGCUCUGGUAGCAGAAGACGCGGGAUGAAUUUUGCCACGACAUGUUUCAUGCCAAGAUCCUGCCUCAAAAUCUCAGGCACAGCAGACUUUGGAGUCCCCAGAUCAGCUCCUAGUUCUUGGGCUGUCAGUUGCCGAUAUUUGUGGAUGGCAGCCAGUAUACAUUCAACAUUCUCAGGCAUUUUGCUUGUCACAGGCCUUCCAGAAUAUGGAUCACUUUCAACAGAUUCUUGACCACAGUUGAAGCAUUUGCGCCACACUUGUAUUUGCCCUGCACUCAUUGCAUUAUCUCCAAAAGCCUUCUAAAUCAUCCAAGUAGUUUCUGCGGUGGAGGGU